rnacentral:lncRNA from 1 species
AGGGGACAAACAUUUGAGUUCUCUUAAAAACAUCUGAGCUUUAGUAUUUUAAAUUAUUUUUCGACAUAUAUCUUAUAUGUUUGAUAAUUUUCAACAGAUGAGUCAUUUGUUGCAACAACUUAGUCAUCUGUUGCAACAGAUGUCUAUAUUUGUUUGAUAAAUUUCAAUAGAUGAGUCAAUUAUUGCAACAGGUUAGUCAUUUGUUGC